GUAGGGUGCGAGCGUUGUCCGGAAUUACUGGGCGUAAAGAGCUCGUAGGUGGUUUGUCGCGUUGUCCGUGAAAUCCCACGGCUUAACUGUGGGCGUGCGGGCGAUACGGGCAGACUAGAGUGCUGCAGGGGAGACUAGAAUUCCUGGUGUAGCGGUGGAAUGCGCAGAUAUCAGGAGGAACACCGGUGGCGAAGGCGGGUCUCUGGGCAGCUACUGACGCUGAGGAGCGAAAGCGUGGGGAGCGAACAGGAUUAGAUACCCUGGUAGUCCACGCCGUAAACGGUGGGUACUAGGUGUGGGUUCUUUCCUAAGGAUCCGUGCCGUAGCUAACGCAUUAAGUACCCCGCCUGGGGAGUACGGCCGCAAGGCUA
rnacentral:rRNA from 1 species